rnacentral:rRNA from 1 species
UAUGUGAUCGUCUCUCGCAUAUCAAUAAGCGGAGGAAAAGAAACUAACAAGGAUUCCCCUAGUAACGGCGAGUGAAGCGGGAAGAGCUCAAAUUUGAAAUCUUAAAGGGUUUCCCUUUACGAAUUGUAGUUUAAAGAAGUGUUUUCUGUUGAGGUUUUGGUAAAAGUUCUUUGGAAUAGGACAUCAUAGAGGGUGAGAAUCCCGUAUUUGACCUUUACUUUCAACUUUGUGAUACACUUUCAAAGAGUCGGAUUGUUUGGGAAUGCAGUCCAAAAUGGGUGGUAAAUUUCAUCUAAAGCUAAAUAUUGGCGAGAGACCGAUAGCGAACAAGUACCGUGAGGGAAAGAUGAAAAGAACUUUGAAAAGGAGAGUUAAACAGUACGUGAAAUUGUCAAAAGGGAAGCGUUUGACACCAGUGUUGUUUUUCUGAAAAUCAAUUAAAGAACUGUUUAUGCUAAGUUGUUUAGACUUUAUCAGCUAACUGUUUAGUUUUGAGCUUUUCUUUAAUGCACUUUUCAGUUAACAAGUCAACAUCAAUUUCUUUUGCUGUAAAAAAGCUUGAGGAAGGUGGCUUGAGAUUCGUCUUAAGUGUUUAUAGCCUCUUGCCUAUGCAGUCGGAGAGAUUGAGGUCUGCAGCGUAGAUCCUUCGGGGCUAAAUGCAUUUGUGCUAAGUUAUAGCAUUUUAUAGACAACUUGUUGACUAUGAUUUGUCUUGUAGCUUACUCGCUUAUGUUAUUUUACCUACGCUUAGGAUGUUGAAGAUAUGCGCGACACG